GGGGAUUUAGCUCAGCGGCAUAAGCGCCUGCCUUGCAAGCAGGCGGUCAUGAGUUCAAUCCCCG
rfam:Cavia porcellus supercont2_43 genomic scaffold, whole genome shotgun sequence.